rnacentral:Y_RNA from 1 species
GGCUGGUCCGAAGGUAGUGAGUUAUCUCAAUUGAUUGUUCACAGUCAGCUACAGAUCGAACUCCUUGUUCUUGCCCCCCUUCUCACUACUGCACUUGACUAGUCUUUU